rnacentral:rRNA from 1 species
CACGUAGGGCGCAAGCGUUGUCCGGAAUUAUUGGGCGUAAAGAGCGUGUAGGCGGCCCGGUCAGUCCGCCGUGAAAGUCCAGGGCUCAACCCUGGAAUGCCGGUGGAUACUGCCGGGCUGGAGUCCGGAAGAGGCGAGUGGAAUUCCUGGUGUAGCGGUGAAAUGCGCAGAUAUCAGGAGGAACACCAAUGGCGAAGGCAGCUCGCUGGGACGGUACUGACGCUGAGACGCGAAAGCGUGGGGAGCAAACAGG